rnacentral:rRNA from 1 species
CCUACGUGGCUGCAGUGGGGAAUAUUGGACAAUGGGCGAAAGCCUGAUCCAGCCAUGCCGCGUGUGUGAAGAAGGCCUUCGGGUUGUAAAGCACUUUCAGUGGGGAAGAAAGCCUUGGGGCUAAUACCCUCGAGGAAGGACAUCACCCACAGAAGAAGCACCGGCUAACUCCGUGCCAGCAGCCGCGGUAAUACGGAGGGUGCGAGCGUUAAACGGAAUUACUGGGCGUAAAGCGCGCGUAGGCGGUCUGAUAAGCCGGUUGUGAAAGCCCCGGGCUCAACCUGGGAACGGCAUCCGGAACUGUCAGGCUAGAGUGCAGGAGAGGAAGGUAGAAUUCCCGGUGUAGCGGUGAAAUGCGUAGAGAUCGGGAGGAAUACCAGUGGCGAAGGCGGCCUUCUGGACUGACACUGACGCUGAGGUGCGAAAGCGUGGGUAGCAAACAGGAUUAGAUACCCUAGUAGUC